UUCAUUAGCUUAUUCUGUUGGAUCCGACUAAUGAAAUCACUUAGUGUCGAUUUGUGUCAGAAAAUUGAUGUAAAAAGAAAAGCGCCCUAUAUCUAGUUGCACUUGGCUGUACCUGAAAUCCUCUUCCCGUCCCUCUAACUGGCAACGUCUCUCAUGCCUAGGUUCCCGCUCUAUAUCGUAUAACACCAGAUCAGUUCGCGAAUUCCUUAUUCCUGCCCCCGAUCGCCCCUCGACGUGAGUAGUGACAGCCAUUUUGUAAAGCUCGUAUCCGUGCAUCUUCACACAGAAAGUACGACGCGGGAACGACGUGACGCGUAAUACUAUCCUUGCGUUAAUAUAAUUGUGAUAUAAAUUAAUUUAACGGUUAGAGAGUAUGGGACGUAAGAAGAAGAAGCAGUCAAGACCGUGGUGCUGGUACUGCAAUCGCGAAUUCGACGACGAAAAAAUUCUGAUCCAGCACCAAAAAGCGAAACACUUCAAGUGUCAUAUAUGCCAUAAAAAGCUAUACACUGGUCCCGGACUUAGUAUACACUGUAUGCAGGUCCACAAAGAAGCUAUCGACAAAGUACCAAAUUCUCUUCCUAAUCGGAGUAACAUUGAAAUAGAAAUAUAUGGCAUGGAAGGUAUACCGCCAAAUGACGCCAAAGAACAUGAGAGACAAAGAAACGGGGGUCGGCCAGGAUCGCCAAGCUCUGGAGAAGAUGAACCUGCACCCAAAAAAUCCAAGCCGGAAGGUUUGCUCGGCUCUGCGCCUGGGGCUGUUCCUACUGGCUCUAGCAUGAUGACGGGAGUUAUGCCUGGCCUCUCUGCCCACCACGGAAUGCCUCCGCACAUGGGACAGUUUCCACCUCACAUGCACCAAAUGAUGGGGCCCAUGGGACCUGUCGGACCUCCUUUCAUGGGGCCUGGCAUGAUGCAGGGGAUGCCAGGAAUGCCUCCAGGAAUGCAGCCACCAGUUUCGGGUGCGUCAAUGCCCUCCAGGCCACUCUUUCCAAGUGUCGUAUCGACAGCGACGUCUUCCACACCUGGAUCAUUGCCCUUGGGAGCUGACUUUAAGCCAAUAACAUCAAUAGCAGGAGGUUCUAUUGGCCCGAUGAAACCGACGUUCCCGGCAUAUGGGGGUGGUGAUAAUGCUGCAAGCCUGCAAAGUAACAGUACAAAUGACCAAAAAGUUAGCCUUAUCGCGACGACUGGCGCUGCUAGCAAAAUAAUCCAUCCCCAAGAGGAUCUUAGUCUGGAAGAAAUACGAGCCAGAUUACCCAAGUAUCAACGUCGCCAGACAGAAGAUACUAGGCCUACACAAGCAGAAACGUCUCAGCAUGUAGCUGCACUGCAGCACCAACAUCAGCAGCAGCAGCAACAGCAUCAGCAGCAACAACAUCAGCAACAUCAGCACCAGCAGCAUGUUGCUGCUGCUGCAUCUGCUGCGGCGGCGUAUCAAGACCAGCAACAGAGGCAACAGGCAGCCCUUAGUGCACUCCAGCAACAGCAGCAGCGAUUCCAGAGACCGCCUCAGACCGUUAUGGUUCCAGCCUCCGCAGCUAUGCCGGUCAGUUCUGUCGCCCUUAUGGCCCCUCUGAUGCGCCCGACUAUGACCUUGGCUGCACCCGCUCUUAUUCAUGGAGGUAACAUGAUGCGACCGCCCCCCAUGGGCCUGCCUCCAGGGCGCCCUGUCACUCCUCGGUGAGUGUUGAACGAACGUUCCCAGUCUGGUUACUAAAACCGUGUUUUAUACAAGUGCAACAAGGGAUGAUAGGCGCCCUACCGCCGGGUGCGAUGCACCCAGCGUUCGCCACUCCCAUGGGAUUUCCAGGAGCACCAAUGCUCGCCCCGAUGAUGCAUCCACGCUUCAGAUGAUCGCCCCCCUCGGACGGGCCCAACCCACCCCUGCAUUUCGUGCUUUGGGCCCGCCCGUAGCGGCUGGAAUCUGACGAUAUCAUCGAGGACGUUCAGUCGACGAUGAAGUGAAGCCUCGGAAGCCUCCACAUCAGCUGCAUCUAAAACCAUCAUGUUAACACGAAGUUAGCCAAACUAUUUGUUUUUCAAAUAAUAAUUAUUAUUAUUAAUAUUAUUAUUAUUGAUAUUAUGUCAUGAUGUCAGUAACUUCCGGCAGCCGUUGAGAGAAAGAGAGCGAUUUGUUAAUCAUGGAAGUGGGCUGCCCAAGUUUUUGAACUGUUUUUAAGGAUCACAACAGAAAAAGGACAUCUCAUACUGGUUGAAUUCAACAUAUCGACGGUUGCGUAGAAUAAUCGGCUAUCUCGAGUCAGGCUUGAAAAACCGGCUAUCUCGAGUUAGGUUUCAAAAACCGGGUAUUUCGAGGUUUGCUUGGAAACCCAGUAUAUCUCGAGUUAUCUUUGAAAAACCGGCUAUCUCGAGUUUCGCUUGAUAAACCGGCUAUCUCGAAUUGGGCUUGAAUAACCGGCUAUUUCAAGUAAAGUUCAAAAACCGGCUAUUUCGCGCUUGAAAUUUUUUGGCCGUAAAUUAUGUUUACAAUAAUAGUAAAUUGGUAAUGACAUUAAAUGUCACUAUGCCGAAAUGAUAAUCUUUAAUUUCAUCUCAACAUACGCUUGAUGCUUUAUACUUUCAUUUCUGCAUUAUAAUUAUUAAUUAUGUAGAUAACCAUAUAAUACCUACAUUCACAAAACGGAGCUUGUAUGAAUUUUGUGAGGCGUUGACGAAUUUCGUAUUCAGCCCGACAGUUCUACCAACUUAAUUUACGGCCGAAAAAUUUCGAACGCGAAAUAUCCGGUUUUUGAACUUUGCUCGAAAUAGUCGGUUAUUCAAGCCUAAUUCGAGAUAGCCGGUUAUUCUACGCAACCGUCGAUAUCUUCAUCUUUCACCUCCUCUUUUAUGAUUUUUAUUAAAGUAUUCUCGUGGACUCUUAUCGCGCAGCCGAUAAUAAGCGUAUCUAAUGUGAAUAAAAUUAUCAAAACUUUCUCAAUUGCACGCUUAUUAUAUAAUCUAAUUUUUUUUUUUUUUUUUUUCGUUAUUUCAUUUUAUUUUAUUCUGGUAAUACAGUCGAGUAUUCCGGCAAUGUGGCGGAAUGAAAUGCAGACUCACAUAUUCCUUGCUAUGUUUUCUCGUGUUUAUCAGGUCAGUUGAGAUAUAAAAUUAUCGUUUCUCAUCAUUAUUUUUUCGUUUCAUUUUUCGACUUUUCACAUUACAGUUAAACUGUACCUGGGAUUCUAAACGAUCUGUUCGCGCUCUUUCUCACGAUGUCUUUUCGGUUUACUCCCACACACCAAUUUCCUCUUGGAGAGGCUGCUCGCAAACGCGGAUAUAGGUGGUGCUUCACGCUGCUACCAGGAUACAAUAAAUUUCUUAGGACAGCCAUCAAGUCUAACGCAUCGCAACUUUCUUUAUUUAUAUUUGAAUAAACAAUAACGAGUAUAUACAUUGCGAUAUUUAUAUAUAUAUUUAUAUAUAUAUGUGCAUAUCGAAAGAACAUUGCAAAAUAGAGUGGAACGUUAUAAGAAAAAAAACAAUUUCCGCCCGUUUGUAACAUCUAUUGAUAUUUUCGUUAUUCCUCGAGAAGCUUUGAAUUGUAGAUUUUACCCUGGCAUUGAAUUCUUGUUUUGAAAUAUUCUUAUUUGUAAAUAUUUUCAGCUUAUUGCAUCGCGAUAAGGUGUGGUUACAUUUUUUGAUUUUUCUUGUUCUUUUUUUUUUUUCCAAUCCUUACCUUACGAUCCAAAAUAACUUUUUCUAAACCUUCAAACCUUGACAGUUACUUAUACAGAAUACACAAUCUGUAUCAAUUUUGUGAAAGUGUACAAGUCUGGAGGCAGCGUGGAGGCUGAGCCGCCUCAGGUUAGUCUGUCCCAAAUUUUAUUUUGUUAUCACUUUGGGCUGAAUCGACUUUAUACAAACUAAAAUUACAUGCAUUAGCAACCAAGUAUAAAGCGUAUCGGUAGUAUGCUUAUUUAAUAUCGUCGAUUCAGCUGAAAGCCUUUCUUCGGAAGAAACAAGUCGGCGACGAUUGAGUGAGUGGUAAGUACGGAGAGUGUUUAUUAAAACGUUAGCUCUCUUCACUCGACUCACGCCGUUUUUCCAUCUCCUAACCUUUGCUCAGUCUUCUCAAGCCAUGGAUUCAAUCAAUUUCAAAAAAGUCUCAACCAAUCGAGACUGACUUUUUAUAUCAACCAUUUUCAUUAUUUCGAUGAAAGUAAUACAUAAUUUAAAGAAAAUUUGUUUGUUAGCACAUUUUUGUUCUAACUAAUCUCAUCAUUGUUAUUAUUGUUGUUAUUAUUAAUUGUCAUGCCCAAAUUUAUGAUUUAUUGUGAUGCAUAGUAAGUAAAAAUUCUUAUCGUUUUACGGACUAUCCGUAGCUAGGGAAGACUCAAUCUCCUGAAACACGACUACAUAUUCACAGUGUCUCUUCCUUUUUUCUUGAUACUCAGAAAACAGCAUACUGUGACCCAUAUAGACAUGUACGUAUCUCUACACAUUGUUAUCAUACACUUACAUCUAGUGGUUAUGUUCCUCGAUAAGUGGAUGGUACCCGGUUAUUCGUGCAAGAGAGUGUCUAUCAUCAUCCCGUAACUCCCUAGUAUCCUUUGUUUGCUAUUAUUUUUAUAGAUAAUAUUCACCGUGCAACAAGACCCCACGGUAUUACAGAGACUUUUGCUAUCGCUGUCUGACUUCGAAGUCUUCGGUAAAAUUUGGUAAAUUGUGUAUAAGCGAAAUGGAUUUGCAGCGAUCAGUUAUUACGAGUAAACACACAAGUUAACAGUUGUGAUCAAAGUGUUUUAAUUUCAUUCAUCAGCUAGCGACAAUCUGUAGCUUGCAAUGAAGCGCAGGCAUUAGAUGAGUAAUAAAUUAUGAAGUUGGAUUAGAUUGUCUGGUUUAUCUUCUUUUUUCUUUUAAGGAGCAUCUACAAAAUGUUGGCUAUUCAAUUAUUGACGUGAUUUGUCAAUGACAGGGAAAAAACACAUUUGAUCUGGCUUUAAUCGUUUUCGUCGUCGGAAAACUUUUUAGUUAAUUUUUAAAUUACAGAGAUUUAUGCGAAUUUUUUACAAUCAAGGCAUUAUAUGUAGACCAGUUCUUUGACUGUAGAAUGCUGGAGUGUUUCAUUUGGGAGAAAAUAUGGCUUCAAUUGAAAUGUUGGUAGCUUCCAUAAAUUGAGAAACAUAACCAGUUUAUCGAAAUUGAACAUGUAGAAGUUCUGUUAUUUAUUGAGUGUCAUUUAUGAAGUGUUUAAAAAUAAAGACGUUCUGUGGAAAGCUUGAUUAAUUGGACUUAGCCCGCGAUUUCGGGAAUUUACUGAAAGUCUUCUACUCUUUGUUUGCAAAGUCAUGAAAAUAAAAAAAAAAUUAUAUUUAGGAAGUAAGAUAGAGAUAGAAAACAUAGAGAUUUAACGGAAAUGUGCAGAUUGAUGACUCGUGUAGAUUCCUGGCAUCGCGGACGACAGUCACAUAUUGUUUCACCAAUCACAGCCUUAACUGCUGUUGGACCAUUUCGGUUCCUUGCCCCAUGGCAGGCGAUUGUUUGGACCUACCGUCAUUAAAGUCAACGAAUCUCAACUCCCAGUUUUAUAAAUUUUGAAGCACAGAAUUAUAAACAUGUGUACCGAAAUUACGAGGUAAAGAACAGACAAAUGGAAAAAAAAAACGUUUACACAAUUUGUCAAGAAUAUUGUAAUAUUCAGGAAACUUGAGCGGGAGAUUGAGAUGACACCAAACCGAUGAUCACAUUUUUGAAGUACAAAUACCUGAUUGUAGAAUUGUGUAUUUAUGUAUAAUUUAAAAGUGCAAUAAUGACAGGAUGUUCGCGUUGAACAAUACGAUUAUAGGCGACCAUAAUAUUCAUUGAUAAACGACGGUGUUAUACCAGUUGCCUUUUCAAUUUCAAAAAGAUCUAAUAUUGUUUUCAAAUUACUUGUAUUUCUCUAUUUUUAGAUACGAUGCAAUCACUGUUUCUUUCUCGUACCAUUUAUGGUUUAGAAAAUGAUAGCAGGAGGAAGCUCUUUAUACAGGCUUCUUAAUUAUUUAUAGAAAUGUUCAUAGAAGAAGCGAAAUAUAAUUUUGCCGCGGUUGUAUUUGUAAAACUGGAUAUUUUUCACUUGGCUUAAUUGACGCGUGGCUGGACCGAGAAACAAUAUUAGUAAAUUUCAUUAAUUAAGAAUCAUGAAACACAAUAUAAAUUACUUACUUGGUGAUUGGAGAGUUGAGGCGCUGACACUUGAGAACUGUAUUGCUGAAAUUUUGGAUUCUCCUCUUUUCUUUUUUUUUUUUUUUUGUUUUAAUUGACAAUGGAAAUUGGGAUGUAUUAAAUUGUGUUACUUUAAGGAGGUACUCAUUUCAUAGAAAUCUAAUUUUAUGUCACACGUGUUCGUUAUGAGAAAUAAAACUAGUCCAGUGCGCCGCUUCAACACUUCAAUAGAGAAUGCUUAGCCAGGUCUGUGUGUAUCGAUCUCAUUACUAUGCGCAUAUCUACGCUAAUCUAUACAUUUACACGGUAAUAGAGAAGAUAAUUAUAUGGAUGGAUUUUAUCAGUUCAGUAAGGUAUUUGGACAGAAUAUUAUUUAAUUUAUUUUUUAUUUUAUUUUAUUUUUAUUUUUUUUUGUACCAAUUACCUGCAUACAUACAUACAUGUAUUUAUGUGUAAAACUAUCCCUAUGCAGGAAUUAUGCAUAUAUCUACACGAUGCAGACCAAAUUAUAGCACUGUUGAUUUUCAGCUGCAACGAUCCGCCACACACUUAUACAAACACCAAAUGUUGUAUCUCAAGUGUUUUAGUGAAAAAAAUUAAACAAAUAAAAAUAAAUCUUCGCAUACAUCUAA
rnacentral:misc_RNA from 1 species